ensembl:lncRNA
AUUGUCAAAGCAUGGACGUAGCUUAGUUGUGUCUUUCCCUUGGUGCUUUGCACAAGAACGUUCAUGAAUUGUAAUGACACCAACCGAACAUUUUCCAGACAUCAAGUGACAUGUGUGAUAUAUGUGUUAAGAUGCUAUUUAUUUUAGCUGCUGCCAACGACAUUAUAAGGCAAUAAAACCGAACAGAAAUUAACUCUACCUGUGUAGUGCCUGGAGUUUGGACCCACAGUAUGCAGCGACUCGCCACCUUCGCCACCUUCGCCACCUCGCCACCUUCUUCUAGGGUAUGCGGAUAUGCUUGUAUGGGCAACUAGUUUGGUGUCGUCUUCAAAUUCAUUUUUUUAUGGUAUACGGUCAUAUGACAGACAGAUGAACACACCUGUUAUUCCCACUAGCUGCCAAGCCUGUGUGUGAUGUAGUUCUGUGUGUGAUGUAGUUCUGUGUGUGAUGUAGUUCUGAUGUAGUUCUGUGUGUGUGUGUGUGUGUGUGUGUGUGUGUGUGAUGUAGUUCUGUGUGUGUGUUUCUGUGUGUGUGUGUGAUGUAGUUCUGUGUGUGAUGUAGUUCUGUGUGUGAUGUAGUUCUGUGUGUGUGUGUGAUGUAGUUCUGUGUGUUUCUGUGUGUGUGUGUGUGUGAUGUAGUUCUGUGUGUGAUGUAGUUCUGUGGUCAGGG